GAAGGAGUUCGAUCAAUAUCUGUCAUCAAAAGGGUGAAAUCACGAACUAGCAUUCGUGAGGAGCUGAUCAGACGGGAGCUUCGUGUGGACGAUCCGUAGAGGCCAGAUAUUUGUGUGGCUGUGACGUGACGAUCAGAGCCCUCCGACGGUGAUCAGAUUGCGGUGAUCGACUACCCGCAAAAGGUGAUGUGUUCUGAACACAGUACUGUAAAA
rnacentral:lncRNA from 1 species